ACAGGAGCUGAUGGACAACGCUCUGUUGACGGCGGAGCUCCUGUCCAAUCAGAGCGAGGCUGAGCUGCAGCGGCGUUUGGCCGAACGUCAGGAGGAGAUCAGCCACAUGCAGGAGAUCCUGGAAACCAAAGUCCAACUGCUGCAGGAGGAGGCGGAGCUUGCCCGGGCCGAUGCCCAGCGGAUGGCGUCUCUGGCGGAUUCG